rnacentral:rRNA from 1 species
CCUAAGGCGAGGCCGAAAGGCGUAGUCGAUGGGAAACGGGUUAAUAUUCCCGUACUUGGUGUUACUGCGAAGGGGGGACGGAGAAGGCUAUGUUGGCCGGGCGACGGUUGUCCCGGUUUAAGCGUGUAGGUGUGUGUUCCAGGUAAAUCCGGUUCACUUUAACACUGAGGCGUGACGACGAGGCACUACGGUGCUGAAGCAACAAAUGCCCUGCUUCCAGGAAAAGCCUCUAAGCAUCAGGUAACAUCAAAUCGUACCCCAAACCGACACAGGUGGUCAGGUAGAGAAUACCAAGGCGCUUGAGAGAACUCGGGUGAAGGAACUAGGCAAAAUGGUGCCGUAACUUCGGGAGAAGGCACGCUGACACGUAGGUGAAGUGAUUUACUCAUGGAGCUGAAGUCAGUCGAAGAUACCAGCUGGCUGCAACUGUUUAUUAAAAACACAGCACUGUGCAAACACGAAAGUGGACGUAUACGGUGUGACGCCUGCCCGGUGCCGGAAGGUUAAUUGAUGGGGUCAGCGCAAGCGAAGCUCCUGAUCGAAGCCCCGGUAAACGGCGGCCGUAACUAUAACGGUCCUAAGGUAGCGAAAUUCCUUGUCGGGUAAGUUCCGACCUGCACGAAUGGCGUAAUGAUGGCCAGGCUGUCUCCACCCGAGACUCAGUGAAAUUGAACUCGCUGUGAAGAUGCAGUGUACCCGCGGCAAGACGGAAAGACCCCGUGAACCUUUACUAUAGCUUGACACUGAACAUUGAGCCUUGAUGUGUAGGAUAGGUGGGAGGCUUUGAAGUGUGGACGCCAGUCUGCAUGGAGCCGACCUUGAAAUACCACCCUUUAAUGUUUGAUGUUCUAACGUGGACCCGUGAUCCGGGUUGCGGACAGUGUCUGGUGGGUAGUUUGACUGGGGCGGUCUCCUCCUAAAGAGUAACGGAGGAGCACGAAGGUUGGCUAAUCCUGGUCGGACAUCAGGAGGUUAGUGCAAUGGCAUAAGCCAGCUUGACUGCGAGCGUGACGGCGCGAGCAGGUGCGAAAGCAGGUCAUAGUGAUCCGGUGGUUCUGAAUGGAAGGGCCAUCGCUCAACGGAUAAAAGGUACUCCGGGGAUAACAGGCUGAUACCGCCCAAGAGUUCAUAUCGACGGCGGUGUUUGGCACCUCGAUGUCGGCUCAUCACAUCCUGGGGCUGAAGUAGGUCCCAAGGGUAUGGCUGUUCGCCAUUUAAAGUGGUACGCGAGCUGGGUUUAGAACGUCGUGAGACAGUUCGGUCCCUAUCUGCCGUGGGCGCUGGAGAACUGAGGGGGGCUGCUCCUAGUACGAGAGGACCGGAGUGGACGCAUCACUGGUGUUCGGGUUGUCAUGCCAAUGGCACUGCCCGGUAGCUAAAUGCGGAAGAGAUAAGUGCUGAAAGCAUCUAAGCACGAAACUUGCCCCGAG